rnacentral:lncRNA from 1 species
UAGGUGAAGCUUUGGUGUUGAAGCUUUGUAGGUGAAGCUUUGUUGGGUACCAUGAAUUGAUUUUGCUUCACACUAUCUUGAUCAAGAUAUUGUGAAGCUUUUAUAGGUGAAGCUUUUGUGUUGAAGCUUUGGAGUUGAAGCUUUGUAGGUGAAGCUUUGGAGUUGAAGCUUUUGUUGGGUACCAUGAAUUGAUUUUGCUUUACACCAUCUUGAUCAAGAUAGUGUGAAGCUUUUGAGAAUUUGUAGUUGUCCUCCAUUGAUGAAGCUUUUAUUGGUGAAACUUUGGAGUUGAAGCUUUUGUUGGUGAAACUUUGGAGUUGAAGCUUUUGUUGGUGAAGCUUUUAUAGGUGAAGCUUUUGUUGGGUACCAUGAAUUGAUUUUGCUUCACACUAUCUUGAUCAAGAUAGUGUGAAGCUUUUGAGAAUUUGUAGUUGUUCUCCAUUGAUGAAGCUUUUAUUGGUGAAGCCUUGUUGGGUACCAUGAAUUGAUUUUGCUUCACACCAUCUUGAUCAAGAUAGUGUGAAGCUUUUGAAAAUGUGUAGUUGUCCUCCAUUGAUGAAGCUUUGUUGAAUUUCCCUUCUUCUUUUUUCUUUUAGGAAACUAGAAAUUUGAAAAUGUGGGAGAGACAACAUAUACAAAUUUUGCUUCCAUACUGUUGAGCAAGAGAUUAUGAUGUAAGCUACACCUUGUAGUAGUCGAAGGUUUGGAUGAACCUUAUAAAUUGAAUUUGCUUCGAACAGUCUUGAAUUUGCUUCGAAUGUUUGAGAAUUGUAGUUGCCCUCCAUUGAUGAAGCUUUUGUUAGCACCAUAAAUUGGUUUUGCUUCACACUGUCUUGAUUAAGAGUGUGUGAAGCUUUUGAGAAUUGUGGUUGAACUCCAUUGAUGAAGCUCUUGUUGGCACCAUAAAUUGGUUUUGCUUCACACUGUCUUGAUCAACAGUGUGUGAAGUUUUUGAGAAUUGUGGUUGAACUUCUUUGAUGAAGCUCUUGUUGGCACUAUAAAUUGGUUUUGCUUCACACUGUCUUGAUCAAUAGUGUGUGAAGCUUUUGAGAAUUGUG